rnacentral:rRNA from 1 species
UACAGAGGUCUCAAGCGUUGUUCGGAUUCAUUGGGCGUAAAGGGUGCGUAGGCGGCGCGGUAAGUCGGGUGUGAAAUCUCGGGGCUUAACUCCGAAACUGCAUUCGAUACUGCCGUGCUUGAGGACUGGAGAGGAGAGUGGAAUUUACGGUGUAGCGGUGAAAUGCGUAGAUAUCGUAAGGAAGACCAGUGGCGAAGGCGGGUCUCUGGACAGUUCCUGACGCUGAGGCACGAAGGCCAGGGGAGCAAACGGG